GAUGAACGCUGGCGGUCUGCUUAACACAUGCAAGUCGAACGAACUCUUCGGAGUGAGUGGCGGACGGGUGAGUAACGCGUGAGAAUCUGCCUGUGGGUCGGGGACAACCACUGGAAACGGUGGCUAAUACCGGAUGAGCCGAAAGGUAAAAGAUUUAUUGCCCACAGAUGAGCUCGCGUCUGAUUAGCUAGUUGGUAAGGUAAAAGCGUACCAAGGCGACGAUCAGUAGCUGGUCUGAGAGGAUGAGCAGCCACACUGGGACUGAGACACGGCCCAGACUCCUACGGGAGGCAGCAGUGGGAAUAUUGCACAAUGGGGGAAACCCUGACGCAGCGACGCCAUGUGAGGGACGAAGGCUUUCGGGUCGUAAAGCUCUGCCAGGGA
rnacentral:rRNA from 1 species